rnacentral:rRNA from 1 species
UACGUAGGGGGCAAGCGUUGUCCGGAUUUAUUGGGCGUAAAGAGCGUGUAGGCGGUCUGGUAGGUCCGUUGUGAAAACUCGAGGCUCAACCUCGAGACGCCGGUGGAAACCAUCAGACUAGAGUCCGGAAGAGGAGAGUGGAAUUCCUGGUGUAGCGGUGAAAUGCGCAGAUAUCGGGAGGAACACCGGUGGCGAAGGCGGUUCUCUGGGCCUGUACUGACGCUGAGGAGCGAAAGCGUGGGGAGCGAACAGG